GUGGGGAAUCUUCCACAAUGGACGAAAGUCUGAUGGAGCAACGCCGCGUGAGUGAAGAAGGGUUUCGGCUCGUAAAGCUCUGUUGUCGGGGACGAACGUGAGAUACUUGAAUAAAGUGUCUUAAUGACGGUACCUGACGAGGAAGCCACGGCUAACUACGUGCCAGCAGCCGCGGUAAUACGUAGGUGGCAAGCGUUGUCCGGAAUUAUUGGGCGUAAAGGGAGCGCAGGCGGGAAGGUAAGUCGGUCUUAAAAGUGCGGGGCUCAACCCCGUGAUGGGAUCGAAACUAUCUUUCUUGAGUGCAGGAGAGGAAAGUGGAAUUCCUAGUGUAGCGGUGAAAUGCGUAGAUAUUAGGAGGAACACCAGUGGCGAAGGCGACUUUCUGGACUGUAACUGACGCUGAGGCUCGAAAGCCAGGGGAGCGAACGGGAUUAGAUACCCGUGUAGUCC
rnacentral:rRNA from 1 species